rnacentral:rRNA from 1 species
AGGGAUCAUUACUGAGUGAGGGCUCGCGCCCGACCUCCAACCCUUUGUGAACCAAAUCCUGUUGCUUCGGGGGCGACCCUGCCGGCACACCGUCGCCGGGCGCCCCCGGAGGUCUUCAAACACUGCAUCUUUGCGUCGGAGUUUAAAUCAAAUUAAACAAAACUUUCAACAACGGAUCUCUUGGUUCUGGCAUCGAUGAAGAACGCAGCGAAAUGCGAUAAGUAAUGUGAAUUGCAGAAUUCAGUGAAUCAUCGAAUCUUUGAACGCACAUUGCGCCCUUUGGUAUUCCGAAGGGCAUGCCUGUUCGAGCGUCAUUUCACCACUCAAGCCUAGCUUGGUAUUGGGCGUCGCGGCUCCGCGCGCCUUAAAGUCUCCGGCUGAGCUGUCCGUCUCUAAGCGUUGUGGAAAUUCAACUAUUCGCUUCGGAGUGCGGGCGGCCGCGGCCGUUAAAUCUUUAUUCAAGGUUGACCUCGGAUCAGGUAGGGAUA